rnacentral:rRNA from 1 species
GGUAACUUGAUUUAGUUGAGUUGGAAUGUAGUUCUCAUGCUUUUUUAUAUAAUUGUGUAAUUCAUCUUUUUAGUAACAUAACUAGGGGAAGCACGAUUCAUAUAAGAUAUUCUCCUUACCUGAGAAGAAUGCAUUUCUUUUCCGGCUUUCUUACAUGCUCUCUGGUCAUUACAUUUGUGUGCUUCUAUUACUAUUAGCAAAAGUGGAAUUCAGAUAAUAUUUCUUUGCAUCACAACAGAUGUCUAUAAUGAAUGCUUGCAAUGGAGGUUUCCCUUUGAUCCUAAGUCAGUCGAUGUAGAUACUUCAAUUUGUUUAAACCUGUGAGAUACACUGUCAUUCUUCAAUUAGUUACAGCUCACUUUUUGUUGUUUUCAUUGUUGUGCUGAAAAUAAAUUCUUAGUUCAUCAUGUGUUCCUGUUUUUGCCUCUCGUGUAUUCUAACAGGAGAAAAUAGCUGAUGAGAUAUUCAAGAUAUUAGUCAGUCAAAUGGCAGAAAGACAUAAUUAUUAAUCUAUUUAGUGUACGAUGCUGUCUGAAACUCAACGAUUUAUUCAUUUGAGUUUAGUACUCCCUCGGUUCCUAAAUAUUUGUCUUUUUAGAGAUUUCAAACGGACACCACAUACGGAUGUAUAUAGACAUAUUUUAGAGCAUAGAUUCACUCAUUUGGCUUUGUAUCUAGUCACUUGUUGAAAUCUCUAGAAAGACAAAUAUUUAGGAACGGAGGGAGUACAUAAGAUUAGCCUUUUCCCAUAGGGAACAUGUGAGUUCAUAUAUAAACUGUAGAUUGUGAAUUCACGACACAGUAGCGAGCUACACCAAUGCCGGUCUGAAUUCCUAGAUUCAGCAAACUCCUUUUGUGUGUCAUAUAGAACAUCCAGAUUAGAUAGAGCAAAGACAGAGACCGAUUAUAAGAGUUCAGGGAUAUGUGCAAGAGGGAGGGGAUGAGCUUGAGGCUUACGAGCUAUUGAAAUAAUCAGACGUGCAUGGUUUCUUGAAUUUUCAAUUUCUCUAUCUGUCAACCCGAAGAUUUGUUUUCUUGUUUGCGACAAACUCCAGGGGAAAAAAAUGUGAAACAGAAUAUGUCUGCCUACAGGCAUUCAGUCAAGGCUUUAAUGAGAAGUUCGGUGAGUUGCUUUUAUAUCUGAUUUGCAUACUUAUGAUUCCAAUAAAUAAGAUAUAUCUAUGAAUAGUUUGGUCACCAGCAUAUGAGUUGAUGAACCAAGAGCAUGUGGUAGUGGUAGGCAUGAUUCCAAGUCGUGGUUCCUUUUUUUUGUCUGACUGGCAUGGAAAAUGAUGAUUCAUUUUAUGUAAUCAUCUUAUUUUAUUUUUCUGCCUUGUGAGUAAAGCUUGCUUUUUUUAAUUAGGCCAAAGCUUUCAUCCGCUAUACAGAAGAAAGCAAAUAACUUGAUGCUAACAUGAGUUAGUUUGCUAUUUGUGGAAGGCAAAUGUGUGUGAACACGUGAAAAUGCAUAGAGAAUGCAUCGAGGCGCUCCAGCAAUACGAGUGCGCAGAGAGGUUCACUAAACAGAAGAGUACCUCCAGGUGUGCAUUAACCAGGAUCAAAAUGCAUUGUCAAUCAAGCUUGCAGAUGGCGAGGUCUUCGUCGUCACUCGCCUCAUCACAGGAAAUGACAAGAUGACCGCCAUAACAACCAACUGAGUUCCGCCGUCAGCAAACAUACAUGAGGGAGACAUUCUACUUCAGACGCAAGGCAAUGCGCAAGGCGUACCGUCGACUAUCGCCUAUAAAUAUAAUCCAUGUAUCAUGCUCAUGUAUAUUGGACCUUCUACGUUUGCCCCUUGCCUUACUUUUGGAACCACCUGAACUAUCUGUAAUGUAUCAUCUAGAUAUCGAUGUACUACCUAUGUGUUCGUAUGUUUUUAUCAUUAAGAUUAAUAUCCUUUCUUCCCCUGUCACUUCUCGGGGAUGCCACAAAAGGAAAAAU